AUACGGAGGGUGCAAGCGUUAAUCGGAAUUACUGGGCGUAAAGAGUACGUAGGUGGUUUAUUAAGUCAGAUGUGAAAGCCCCGGGCUCAACCUGGGAACUGCAUUUGAAACUGAUAAGCUAGAGUAUGGUAGAGGGGGGUAGAAUUUCUAGUGUAGCUGUGAAAUGCGUAGAUAUUAGAAGGAAUACCAGUGGCGAAGGCGGCCCCCUGGACCAAUACUGACACUGAGGUACGAAAGCGUGGGGAGCGAACAGGAUUAGAUACCCUAGUAGUCC
rnacentral:rRNA from 1 species